GAUAUGUUUAGCAGAAAUCGAAAAAGAAAGUGCGAGUUAAGUUUGUUCCUCACAGAGGGUUUGUCAUCGGUUUAUCCAGGGUGAGUCCUGACGCCUCUUCUGCUUCAUUUCUAUCAGUUUGAGCACUUCUUUGGUUUUUUAAAGACAUAUUCUUCUGUAUAUCUGCUAACAGGGUGACAAGGCUAAUAAUGAAACCAAGGAGGAAAUACCACAUCUUAAGGACAGUGCUGACGCCGAGCUGAAGGGAGCUUGUGGAGUCACUCCUCAGCCACAUCUCAAGGAUGAUGAGGGGUCUGGUGACCUGAAGGGAGCGUUUGGUUACGAUCCUCACGAGUUCAAGGGAGACACAUUACUGAAAUCUGAAGUCGGACG
rnacentral:lncRNA from 1 species